rnacentral:rRNA from 1 species
GAGAAAGGGGACUUCGGUCUCUGAGUACAGUGGCGCACGGGUGCGUAACACGUAAGUAAUCUGCCCCGAACCCUGGGAUAACCCUCCGAAAGGAGGGCUAAGACUGGAUAGGGUCCCCGAGGUCAUGGCCGCGGGGGGAAAACGGGCCUCUGGUGCAUGCUCGUGGUUCGGGAUGAGCUUGCGGCCCAUUAGCUAGUUGGUAGGGUAAGGGCCUACCAAGGCGACGAUGGGUAGCUGGUCUGAGAGGAUGAUCAGCCACACUGGCACUGAGACACGGGCCAGACUCCUACGGGAGGCAGCAGUGGGGAAUUUUGCGCAAUGGGCGAAAGCCUGACGCAGUAACGCCGCGUGGAGGAUGAAGGCCUUCGGGUUGUAAACUCCUGUCAGGGGGAACGACGGGGAUGGGGGGACAACCCCUGUCGCCCAGACGGUACCUCCAAAGGAAGCCCCGGCUAAUUCCGUGCCAGCAGCCGCGGUAAUACGGAAGGGGCGAGCGUUG